UGGGGAAUAUUGCACAAUGGGGGAAACCCUGAUGCAGCGACGCCGCGUGAGUGAAGAAGUAUUUCGGUAUGUAAAGCUCUAUCAGCAGGGAAGAAAAUGACGGUACCUGACUAAGAAGCCCCGGCUAACUACGUGCCAGCAGCCGCGGUAAUACGUAGGGGGCAAGCGUUAUCCGGAUUUACUGGGUGUAAAGGGAGCGUAGGUGGCAUGGCAAGUCAGAGGUGAAAACCCAGAGCUUAACUUUGGGAUUGCCUUUGAAACUGUCAGGCUAGAGUGCAGGAGGGGUAAGUGGAAUUCCUAGUGUAGCGGUGAAAUGCGUAGAUAUUAGGAGGAACACCAGUGGCGAAGGCGGCUUACUGGACUGUAACUGACACUGAGGCUCGAAAGCGUGGGGAGCAAACAGGAUUAGAUACCCUGGUA
rnacentral:rRNA from 1 species